rnacentral:lncRNA from 1 species
CCUUGAGUUGCUGUGCCCAACAGCAGCAGGGGGAGCUGCAGUGGAGCCAUGACUGAGACACAUGAGUGGGUGUACUCCUUCAGGUCACAGCCCUAUGAUCCUGCCAGAAUUCAGUCUCUAAUCAAGUAACAAAGUGUGGUUGUAUCAGUGACUACAACAACACAAAACAGCUAAAAGGCGACCUAUGACCUUGUUGAAUAGUAUUGAUUUGAUGGUA